GAUGAACGCUGGCGGCGUGCUUAACACAUGCAAGUCGAACGAUGAAGCCCAGCUUGCUGGGUGGAUUAGUGGCGAACGGGUGAGUAACACGUGAGUAACCUGCCCUUGACUCUGGGAUAAGCCCUGGAAACUGGGUCUAAUACCGGAUAGGAGCGCCUGUCGCAUGACGGGUGUUGGAAAGAUUUUUCGGUCAUGGAUGGACUCGCGGCCUAUCAGCUUGGUGGGGAGGUAAUGGCUCACCAAGGCGACGACCGGCAGCCGGCCUGGGAAGGGGCCCGGCCCAGACGGGAACGGGGUAAGGCCCCGACCACAUUCGGACGGAAGCGGGGGGAAAAAUGUACCAGAGGCGGAAGCCUGAUGCAGCGACGCCGCGUGAGGGAUGACGGCCUUCGGGUUGUAAACCUCUUUCAGUAGGGAAGAAGCGAAAGUGACGGUACCUGCAGAAGAAGCACCGGCUAACUACGUG
rnacentral:rRNA from 1 species